rnacentral:rRNA from 1 species
AUGUUAAUAUCCAAACCGGGAGCAACAGAUGUUGGAGAAGCAUUGCAGCUAUUUUGUAUCUACAUGGGGAUAUUUUGUAUCUACAUGGGCAAACCAAGGUCAUCUUUUUCUGAAUGUAUAUCAAGGUUAUGUCGUACAUAUGUAGUUUUAUAUCAAGAAACAACAAGAAGAGAAUUUUGUCAAUUUUGGUUGAAUUCCAAUUGCAACUUUGACUGCAAGUCUGAACAUUGUUUUUUGAAAAGGGGGAAGACCCCGACCUCUGCAAGUCUGAACAUGGACAUGAGAAACUCCAAAUUGCGUCCUGACCACGAAGGUCCAACACUUACAGUGUAA